UAGUCGUAAAUCAACAAAACGGCAUUCACAUAACGCUUAUAUCUUAUAUAGCGAAUUAUAUCUUCAUACAGCAGUCUUUUAAGUAAUAUGUAAUAGAAAUUCAGUCGUUUGGAAUGAGUGGAGCAGUGAAAACGUUUAUGAAGAUAUGGUGUACAGAGUUGACGUUUCAACCAAAGACUGAUUCUGAUUCACUGUCGACGGAAAAGGUGGAAGGAAAGAAAUAGGUCAGACAAGGAUGGAUAUAUUAAAUUGGAAACUGAAAUAUUCAGUAUCAUGCAGACG